CUUGUUAAGGUACCAACUACCCUCUGUAAAGGAGAAAACUACUUCAUUACUUUCCAAAAGUUGGCUGGGAGAAGGUUCCUUUCUCAACCCUGGCUGUAUAUUGGAAUUAACUGAGCCUGGACCAAACUCAAUUUACUGAACUUUACAGCACUGGUGUGGUGGGGCCCAGAUAUCCUUUUGAAACCUCUCUAGGUAAUUCUAAAGGGCAGAGUGAACCGGUAUAAAAAUAUUUCCCUAAGUAUUUUGAACAACAAUAAUGUGUAAGGCUCAUUAUUGUUUCAUGACAGAUUUAGCCUUUUAAAAAAAAUUAAAGAUCUCAAAUGUGUUCUAACCCUCCCCACCCGCUACCACCACUGUUGUAAUUCUGUACCUACUUUGACCCACUCCCCUACACACUUCUAACCAAUAUUUAAAAUGAGAAGAUACCAUACAAAAUCCAGUUUUCUAGCUGCUUUUAAAAAAUGGGAAGAAAAUACAACACUGUGAUCUCAUUCCUGAUAUCCUCAUAGUGAUCAGUAAUUGAGGACCCACCUUAUUUAAAACUUACCUGCCUGGCUCCUGUGUUUUAAAAAGCAAAGCAAAAUAAAAAACCAUUUUGUGUGUUUUAUGUCAAUCAUAUAAAAAGAAAUUCAACAUUCUUUCAUUAAAAAAACACUUAAACUUCUAUUGCAAUACAAGUAAACCUCCUCAACAUAUUAAAAGCCAUUAGGAAAACCCCCACAGCAAACAUCAUAUUCAGUGAUGAAAGACUGGAAGACUUUUCCCUGAAAUCAUGCAUAGAUCCUUACAAAACUAGUAAAGGAGCUGGAGAAUUGUCUCCAGCAUCCAUUGCCCUGUAAGAUGACAGGUUGGCAAGAGACAAGGGGUUUAUUUCUAUUCCUGCUUUGUGUGUUUCUGGGCAGGAAACAAGAAAAUCCCUUCUCCUUUGUUAGUUAAGAGGGGAAACCUGAGGAACUGCUCUUCACAUGCCCCUUAUUGUGUGCACAUGAGUAUGGCUACCGUUGUGGCCAUUACAUUCCUUUGGAAAGCCAAACUGAGUCUGGAGGAGGCAAGGGCUCCCUGGGAAACGCGGUCCCCCAGCUGGCCCCUGGUGCCCCUGAGUGCCAUGCAGGUUGCUAGUUAGCACAUAAGCCAGCCAAGAAGUGGCCCAAGAACUAGUUGCAGCUUUUGGGCACCGGGUGUGGGAAUGUCAGGGCUGGCUGUGCACCAGACCCGUGGAAGUUUCCCAGUGUGCACUUCCCGAGUGCUGUCCGGCUUUCUCCCGGGACCUGUAGGUUCAGGGUGCGAGGAGAAGCCUUGGAGAAAUUACCUCCAAGUCUGUGGUGGAAACUUACAGGGAGAAAAGAGCAGCCUGGCAGUCACCCUGGCAAUGCUGAGUGGCCGUUAGCGGUGAGAGACACUGAGGGGCCUCGGACCAGCUCCCUCUUGUCAUGGGGCAUCUCCUUCCAGGCUGGGUUCCCAGAUCAGUGUGGUAAAGAGUCUUUGGCCAGCUGCUGUUCCUCAGUGAGCAGUAGGUUUCCUGGCAUUCAUGAAGGAGAACCAUGUCAGGAAGCUAAGUAAGGUAGGGAGGGGCUCAUAAGCUCAUGGGGCAGACAGCCCUUGUAAUGGAGGGAUCUUUGUGGCACCAGCUACAAGCAGAGAAGGGUGUGGGGGUCUGCACAGGGGGUGUUGAAAUGAAGUUUCAAUAAGAUUGUGGACAGGCAGGGUUGAAUCUGCACUGAAGCCCAGGGUUAUUAAAAGAUAGGCAGCCUGUGGGCCAACCCAAAACUGCAGAAGUGUUUUGUUUUACCGCGUGCAAUUUUUCAUUUAAUCUGAACUUUAAAUGCUCAGUGUUUAAAGACGAGAGAUUACAUAUUUAAAAACACUAUUUUUCCACUUCUUUUCAGAAUCUCUUGCAGCCCUGGGCCCACCUUCUGCUUGGCACAGCAGCUGGAGCUGGCCUCAGUUGCCCCCUCAUGGCUCCACUAUGCCCUUCAGGUCACCAGUCCUUCACAAAUGACUUCAUUUUUUUAUGCUAUCUGCCUGUCCAGGAUUUGGCAAGUCUUGGAGACUCAAGCCCACUGAGCCCAGAAAAGGCGCGUGUCCCAGGAGCCGGUUGAGUCGUUUGCUGCAAGGAGCUCAACUUCAGGCACUGCAGUGGGGAGGCGUGCGGGUCGCCGUGGAGACAAGACGCCAGCGAGGCCCCUGCCCGGGGACAUUGGGGGCGGGGCGCGCGCCCAACGCCUAACUGCCGCUCGGAACCAGGCGGAGCCCAGUGAUCCGGUGGCGGCCAGUGCCAGCCCUGGGACCUGCCCUGUCGGGAUCUAACCCUGGGGAGCUGGUGGUGUGGGAGGCGAGAGGUACAGAAAGGACGAAAGGACGGCCCUGUGACCCCUCUGGGCAAAGGCCAGGAAGGGCCGCCUUCCGCUUGUCCAGGAACCAUGAGCCCAGCCAAGCGCUGUGUGGGCGCAUCGUUGAAACUGCAGGCGCUAACUGGGAGCUAGCCUCCCACUCCGGAGGCUCUGGACUUAGCUAAACAUGGUGAUAGCUGGGAACCUGCUACUGCUUCCCCCUGGAAUAGAGAACCAUCCUUUCAGGGGCCCCGAAUCUUUAGGAGCCAGCACUCAACCUCCUUCAGGUGUAACCAGGGGUCGUUUUCAUGAUCUCCCCAGAGGCCUCCCACACGAUGGACUCAGGCCUUGGUCGCUACCAAGCUGUGCAACAUCCUCAUGGGCCAUUUUUAACACCAGGGUUGAAGAUUUGGUCCUGACGGAGAACCAUCCCAGCUCCCCAGCACCAAAGCUGCCCCUCCUGCCACACCGGGCGUGCAGGUUCUGUCAACAUCCACUCCAAGCCACCCUUCAAAUCGGCACUGGCUGAAGGCACUGGCCCAGCGCAGAGCGCCUAUCCCUCUGCAGGGAGCUUACAGUGGGGGAGCGGAGACAGACCAAUACAAGUCAUCUACACCUUUGUAAAUGCUCAGUCCUCACGGGGCUGGGCAGCUCACCCCCAGGCCUAGGAUAACAAGUAGGAGAGGCAGGGGAAGACGCUGUCUUGGUCCUCACCUCCAGGAUCUCCAGACACCCAGUUCAACACUUUGGGCAAAAAGACUAGGCCAAAUCUCUGUACUCCAUGAGUGCCCUUCAUGUUCCAUUUCUUCAAACAUGUUUAUUGAGCAUCUACUGUGUGCCAGUACAGAAGAUUCAGUGAUCCAUAAAACAGAAGCUGAUCUUCGGGUGGGAUGGAGAAACUAGGAAAAAUGCAAAAACUUCAAGUAGUUAUAAGUGCUAUGAAGAAAAACAUGAAAACGUGAUGAUGAAAGAUGGGAGGCAACCCUACUUGAGAUGGGGUGUAUAGGGAGGGCUUCCUUAAGGAGGUGAGGUGAUAUUAACUUGAUGGGCAACAAGGGAUGGGACCUGUGAGUCUGGGAGGGAGGGCACAGCAGCACAAAGGCAGGCAGUGGGGUGGGCUCAGCUGACCAAGGCUUGGACAGGAAAGCAGGCCAUGAUGAGGAGUGGCUAGCAAAGCGCAGACCUUGUCAGGCAUUCAAGGAGAGACAUUUGGAUUUUCCUCUUAAGUGUGAGGGGAGGCUGCCCCAGUGUGUUAGCAGGGCAGGCAGGGUCCACUGAGGGCUUUGAGAAAACCUUGGCCUCUGGGAAGAUGUGGCAACAGAGAGACCCACUUUGAGGCUUCCUCCAUCUGGGGCAGACGGUACCAAAUGGGCUGGUCCAGAAUGUAGUGUAGAUGUCAGAAAAGUGCUCAGUUCCUCUUCACACUGUUGCCAGUGAGGCGUGGUUCCAGGGCCAGGCCUGGCCCACCCUCCAGGGGCUGUCUUCUGCGCCCAGACCAGGAGGCGCUCAGCUGAAUGCCCGUUUCCAGCCUGUGGCUUCUCCUUGACCUUGCUUCCCCUUCCCCACACCCAGCUAAGUGGACAGACGAGAGGAUCAGGUGGGGCAAGGGCACUGGACUGGGAAUUAGAUUUGGAGUAUAAUCCAAACACACUGGCUGGGGCCUGCCUCUUCUCUGGACCUCAGCUUCUUCAUGUGAAAUGAGGGGUGGCAGACAGACAAUAAGAUGGGUCUGAGGAUCCUUACCAUUCAACCCCUCAAUGGUCCCAAAGGGUUCCUCAAGGGCCGCCUUGUUCAAGAAUUAUUACCCGAUUAGAGGGGGAUGAAGGAACACAUUUUUUCAGGCCCAUUUAUAUCAGGCUCUCAGGUUGGGUGCUGGUUUGGUUGGCUUUUAAUUUUUUUAAUUUUUUUUUCCCCUUCUACAAAUACAAUUCUGAGUCCUGACUAGGACCAGGAGUUAGAUUCAUUUCUAGAUUCUCAUCAUUUGAUGCUAUACAAAACAGACAAGGCCUUGGGGGUCAAGGGAAAGAUUAAGCAUGUAAAUAAAAGGUAAUUUAGCUGUAGAAAAUGUAUGAGGAAAGGAGUCAGGAUGACAGAAUUGAAGAAGCUUGUGGAGGCGCGGAAAAGAGGGUCAGGCAGGCAGAACCGCUGGCAGCACUGGACAGUCGGCACCACAGCCCAUCAGACACUGUGCCUGACAGAGAAACGAGGCCACGGGGAGGGUAAGAACACGGGGAGGUAAAGUCGGAGAGAUCAGCAGGGGCCCGGAUGCUGCAGAGCCUGGUGGGGGAACUGCUGAAGGGUUUUGAGCAGGAGAGCAACAAGCUCUGGUUCACUUUUUCAAAGGCCACUCUGGCUGCCUCGAAGUAGAAAAAGGAUUGGCUUGAACUUGGGAAGGCAGAGAGAGGAGGCAGGGGGACCAGACAGGAGAAGAUGAUGGUAGCAUGGGCCAGGUGGCCGGUAAACCCCUUUGCUACUCUCUACCGGGGGGAGCCAUGUCUCCAUUCUCCCAGCCCCCCUCAGAUAAUGGCAGUUGGGGAGCAGAGUCUGGUUUGCGGUUGAGGACCUCAUCUAAGGAGGAAACUCUCCAUUCAGCUGUUCACCCAUUCUUGACUAGGAGAGAAUUUUAGGAUCCCCAAGACUGGACAAGUAAUAACUGUAUGAAAUAAACUUGCACAUGUCUUAGUAGGCUUUCCAUUAAGUUUUUCAAAGGUGUCACAAUACCAGUGGUGCCCCACUACCUGCUCUGCCAGGUGGCCUCGUGGGGCCCAGCACAGACACUUUGCAUAGGAUUCGUGCUGUGACAGGAAGCAUAAGAGUACUGAGCCGGAGCUGGGUUUGACUCCCAUCUCAUUCAACAAAUAUUUAUUGAGGACCUACUAUGUGCCAGGCCCUGAGCUGCAGUUAGGGCUCCUGCUGUAGUAGAGGUCACAGGUAUUGAACAGGUCAACUCAGAAAAUGAUAAGGGGUAUAAAACAAAGUACUAGAAAGUGACUGGGGGUGGCCGAGGGGUGACUUUAAGUGGAGUGAGCAGCGUAUGCCUUGCCACCUUUUCCAGGCCAGAUAACAUUGGGAGUAAUACUCAGUCUCCCUCAAGCCUCAGUUUCCUCAUCUGGACAGUGGAGGUAGAAGUACCCCCACCAUAGGAAUGUGCAAUUCCUGGCAAGUAGACCGUGCCAGGCGGUGCCUCAGCUCUGUCUUGCUGAGCACGUCGCUUCAGGCAGCUCCCACCCAGGAAGGCAAUCUCCACAAAAUGGGGCUGCUUGGAAGAAAGAGAAAUAAAACCAAGAUUCCCUUGCCUGCACCUCAGCCAAGAGGGGCCCUGUGGCAGCGGUGGCCAGAGCAGGCUGCCCAGGGCUGACUGCACAGGAAGACACUGCAAGAUCUUUUCUCUGUCAGGUUUGUCCUGGUCGCCCAGAACUCCCUGCCAGAAUGGUCUCUUGAUCCUGUCCUGGCUCCUUGGGCCUCAAUCCUUGGGGCCUCUAGAGAAGAGAGGUCACGCUCUACCCCAGGUCUGAGGCUGGAGACUAUCCUGGCCCUCCAGUGGAAGCCACUAAGGGGAGGCCCCUCUCCCAGAGGCCAGGCCGCCACAGACGCUGCUGCUGGGGUCCUGGGGAGCUCAAGCUGGGCCAGUGCUCGCUCUGAGCCUCUAAACUGGCAUUGGGGUCGGGGAGGUUGAGGAUUGUACCCAGAAGACCCUGGCCCCCAAAGUAAAGGAAAUCCCCCGAAGCAGACAUAGUGGGGGCUGGGAGCCAGGCUCUCUUGUGCUGCAAGAGUCUGGCUUCCCUCUCCUCGCCUUCACUCCAGGAUGUUUCCUAAACGACUGAGCUCCUCUGAGCUUCCCUCUCCACUGGCCAGGAGCUCUUCUACCCUGACUCAUGCCCGCCAGUUGUUUGAGGGCAGGGCUUGGAGAAGCCAUUAUCUAGUUUCUAAUGCUCCUUCCCUCGUUCAUCCCCUCGCCCCUGGUCCAAGCUUUCUGAGCUCCAGCACCAGGCCCUGUACAGCCAAGACGCUGGAGAGCCAGGCAGAAGCCCCGGUUCCGUGCCCCAGGGUGCAGAGGGCAGGAGAGGCUUCUGGGGGAGGCCGGUGAGACACAGGAAAGGGCAGCAGGCCCCUUGCGGUGCUGCCGAGAGCAGGAAAGGAAUCUGGUGGGAGUGAAGAAUGGGAGGUGAAGUUAGCAAAGCAGGCAGAAGCCAGACUAUGAAGGGGACACGAAGUCACAUGCUUUCAAGUCCCCCCCCCCCCCCAAGAAAGACUGUGCAAUAGCCCAGAAGAGAUGGCAGUGGGGCGAGGGGAGAGCACAGGCAGGAAGACCCUGAGGACUAAGAGGAGGAGGAGGAGGGGCCAGGUCACUGAGAGUUUGGCAGUGAUGGCAACGCCUGAAAUGGGGUCCAGGGGAGGACACAUGUAAACCGAGCUGGUGGGUCACAGAUGGUGAAAGGGAUGGGAAACAAAUCCUGAGGUCUGGGGGCUCACACCAGGGUGGCAAGAUGUGUGGAAUCAGGCCCGAGGUAGGGACACAGGCAUGGGGAGGAGGAAGAGGGGAGGGGUGCGUGCUCUGAGGGCAGCCUGGUCACAGGUCAACAAUAAUUGACAUUUCUCUUUAACGGAGAAACCUCAUUAGUAAGGCCCCUGCAGAUAUUUCUGGCCAGCAAAAGAAGGAUAGGAGUUGCACCACUGUAUUAGCCCGGUGAAAUAAACUCAGGCCCAACCAGCUGUGGGACUCUGCAACUAUUCAAAAGAACAAGUUCCACCCAGAUGAAGCGAUGGAGACGCUCAGAGUAAACAAAAGCAGGAUGCAGGGUGCGCACGUGUGUCCCACUGCAGGCAGCACACGAGCGCCGGUCACUGGUGUGUGCGCUUGGGUAGGUCCGGCUGUAUGCCCACCACAGGCUGUGGCCACAUCCAGGCAAUGCAAGGAAGGACGGUGUUAGGUCUGAUCAAAUAAUUGAAUCGAUGCCCCCUCCCCUGGGAACUGACCUGUAGGCCACUUCACAAGGAACAUUCCCUUUGGCUUAGACACAUUCCACUUGCUAAGACCAUUAUCCUUCCCCUCCGGACCAUCCCAGGAUCCACACCGGCCCAGGGAAUUCUCCGCCCAGAAAAAGCUCGCCUAGAGUCCCUUUAAAGUCUCUGACUCCCUGUCCCUGGGUGCUGGCGCCAUGGUGGGGCCCAGCCCAUCUGGUAUCCAGAUGACCCAAUAAAUUAACCCCUCACAA